rnacentral:rRNA from 1 species
UGGGGAAUAUUGCACAAUGGGCGAAAGCCUGAUGCAGCGACGCCGCGUGAGGGAUGACGGCCUUCGGGUUGUAAACCUCUUUCAGCAGGGAAGAAGCGAAAGUGACGGUACCUGCAGAAGAAGCGCCAGCUAACUACGUGCCAGCAGCCGCGGUAAUACGUAGGGCGCAAGCGUUGUCCGGAAUUAUUGGGCGUAAAGAGCUCGUAGGCGGUUAAUCGCGUCUGCUGUGAAAACUCGAGGCUCAACCUCGGGCUUGCAGUGGGUACGGGCUGACUAGAGUGCGGUAGGGGUGACUGGAAUUCCUGGUGUAGCGGUGGAAUGCGCAGAUAUCAGGAGGAACACCGAUGGCGAAGGCAGGUCACUGGGCCGCAACUGACGCUGAGGAGCGAAAGCAUGGGGAGCGAACAGGAUUAGAUACCCUGGUAGUCCAUGCCGUAAACGUUGGGCACUAGGUGUGGGGUCCAUUUCCACGGAUUCCGUGCCGCAGCAAAGCGCAUUAAGUGCCCCGCCUGGGGAGUACGGCCGCAAGGCUAAAACUUAAAGGAAUUGACGGGGUCAUAGCUGUUUCCU